rnacentral:misc_RNA from 1 species
AGCUUGGAUAUAACCUCUGACCUGUGUUCUUAUUUUCCUUUCUACAGGAUAUGGAUCAACAACCAUAGGCAAAAUAUAGAAAUUGGUUAAAAUAACUCAUCUCAGCAAGGGGAAAAAAACCUAAAUGAAAGGAAAUAUGAACACAGGUCAGAGGUUAUAUCCAAGCUAUGAUACAAAAUUAACAGAGAAAAUUUAUGAAGCAGCAGCUAAAGGAGGUGGCUUUCCAUGAAACACAGUCGGUGGUGAUGAUUCACUCAUCUCUUCUCCUUGCCCCUCCUCAUCUUCUUCUUCAGCAUCCCAUAGAAACCGAGCAUAUGAUGCUAGCACAAAACAAUCAUUAGGGGCCGCUUUAACAGCUUGAUCGAAAUAUGUCUCAGCACGAGAAGCAUCCUUAUGCCUCUGCCAUAUCAAAUCAGCGUACAUAGAUAAAACGUUUUCAUCAUUGGGGUUUGCUAAGAUUGCUCUUCCACAGUACUCUUCAGCCUUUACAUAAUCUUUUUGAACCUCUUUCAAGAAUUUCGCAUAAUUGCUGAGCAACAGCGAAUUCCCCGGAUUUGCUUCGAUCAUUUUUUGAUAAUAAAUAUCUGUACUAUCAUUCCCGCUAUUUGAAUCCCAAAACCCAGAGUUGCCAUCACCUCCGCUGUCCGAUCCACCAUUCCCACCACCUCCGCCACAGAUUUUCCCGCCACCACUACCAAUUCCCCCAGCCACCAAAAGCCCCAGCAACCCAUUAUCUUUCGUCCUAACGUCGCACUCCUCAUUUAACAAACUAGAUUCCAUAGACAAACCAGGACCCAUCAACGCCGUUUUCUCGUCUUCCUCCUCAAGCGUGAUCCCAUCCAUGAUUUUGUUGACGGGUUUCUUCUUCGGCACCGAAAGGUGUUUGAGAUCGUUCUCAGAGAGGGCUUUGGUCAUUUUCUUGAUCGACUCAUCAUAAGAGGAAAUAGAAGACGAAGAGAAUGAACAGGAACAAGAAGCUGUUAAAGCAAGCGAUCGAGUUUUGUGGAUUUGGUGAAAGAUUUCAGGCUCUGGUGAGGAUUCUUUGGAGUGAGGGAUCCAUGAGUUAAGUAUUGGCGUAGAUGCGCUUCGUAGAAGCAUCGUUAAUGUGUAUGCAAUGUAUGAUCACCAGCAGAGGCGAGAGAGAGAGAGAGAGACUGAGAGAACGCGUUUCUUC